rnacentral:rRNA from 1 species
UACGAAGGGGGCUAGCGUUGUUCGGAAUCACUGGGCGUAAAGGGCGCGUAGGCGGCCGAUCAAGUCGGGGGUGAAAGCCUGUGGCUCAACCACAGAAUGGCCUUCGAUACUGUUUGGCUUGAGACCGGAAGAGGUCAGUGGAACUGCGAGUGUAGAGGUGAAAUUCGUAGAUAUUCGCAAGAACACCAGUGGCGAAGGCGGCUCACUGGCCCGGUACUGACGCUGAGGUGCGAAAGCGUGGGGAGCAAACAGG